UCUGCCAUAAAGCCCCGACUGGUGGAGGGCUGCAGUGAUGGUUGACUUUGUGGAACUUUCUCCCAUCUCCCUACUGCAUCUCUGGAGCUCAGCCACAGUGAUCUUGGGGUUCUUCUUUACCUCUCUCACCAAGGCUCUUCUCCCACGAUUGUUUAGUUUGGCUGGACGGCCAGGUCGAGGAAGAGUUGUGGUCGUCCCAAACUUCUUCCAUUUAAGGAUUAUGGAGGCCACUGUGCUCUUAGGAACCUUGAGUGCUGCAGAAAUUCUUUUGUAACCUUGGCCAGAUCUGUGCCUUGCCACAAUUCUGUCUCUGAGCUCCUUGGGCAGUUCCUUAGACCUCAUGAUUCUCAUGUGCUCUGACAUGCACUGUGAGCUGUGUGGUCUUAUAUAGACAGGUAUGUGCCUUUCCUAAUCAAGUCCAAUCAGUUUAAUUAAACACAGCUGGACUCCAAUGAAGGAGUAGAACCAUCUCAAGGAGGAUCAGAAGGAAAUGGACAGCAUGUGAGUUAAAUAUGAGUGUCACAGCAAAGGGUCUGAAUACUUAUGACCAUGUGAUAUUUCACUUUUUCUUGUUUAAUAAAUUAGCAAAAAUAUCUACAUUUCUGUUUUUUCUGUCAAGAUGGGUCUCAGACCUGCUUUUCCCGGGCAAAAAAAAAAAAAAAGAAGAAAGAAGGUGAUGUGUAAUCGGUGUACCUGGGCGGGCGCUGUAAGGAACCAGGCGUAGGACAUCAGACACCCAGCGGAGGAGGCCAGACUGUACCACAGACCUAUUGAAAAAAGGAGUACGGGUGAAGGUGUCGGGUGAGAGGAAGGUGAAGGUGUUUAGGAGGAGUCUGCCUGACCGAGGCUGUGAGGACCCUGGCCAAACGCAAGCCUCUGAUCGAUUCUCUUGUGACCUCAGCACUGACCAGAUCAGAGGAGCGGCUUUAUGAACGACCUCGACGAACAGGAAGAUGCACCACAGCCAAGAGUACACAAACUGGGCUCCUCCUGGGUGUGAGAAGCUGGGGAAGUGUCUUAAACCGCCGUCGUCAAACCCAUGGAAAUGUGACUGGCCACAUUGAUACACAUCUACCAAAAUGAACAAACAGGAUAAUGGGUUUCUCAUUCUGAUUGCUCCUAUGUGUAUACGGGUAUGAUUUUAUAAUAUGUCUACAUUUUACUGUAAUGCUACGAUUUUAAUUUAAUGCGUUGAAAUGCAUUUAAUCUAUCUGGAAUCUAAUCCAUAGCUGCAAAUGUUUGGGAUGUUUUGUGAAAUUAAAUAAAAUGA